rnacentral:rRNA from 1 species
GAUGAACGCUGGCGGCGUGCCUAAUACAUGCAAGUCGAGCGAAUGGAUUAAGAGCUUGCUCUUAUGAAGUUAGCGGCGGACGGGUGAGUAACACGUGGGUAACCUGCCCAUAAGACUGGGAUAACUCCGGGAAACCGGGGCUAAUACCGGAUAACAUUUUGAACCGCAUGGUUCGAAAUUGAAAGGCGGCUUCGGCUGUCACUCAUGGAUGGACCCGCGUCGCAUUAGCUAGUUGGUGAGGUAACGGCUCACCAAGUCAACGAUGCGUAGCCGACCGGAGAGGGUGAUCGGCCACACGGGGACUGAGACACGGCCCAGACUCCUACGGGAGGCAGCAGUAGAGAAUCUUCCGUAAUGGACGAAAGUCUGACGGAGCAACGCCGCGUGAGUGAUGAAGGCUUUCGGGUCGUAAAACUCUGUUGUUAGGGAAGAACAAGUGCUAGUUGAAUAAGCUGGCACCUUGACGGUACCUAACCAGAAAGCCACGGCUAACUACGUGCCAGCAGCCGCAGUAA